UACUGUAAAUGUAUUUUUAAUUAAAAGGGUAGAAAUGUAAAGAGUGAAAUUAAAAUUUACAUGCCCAUUUCGUGAAUUACAUUUCUCAAUUUCACUUUCACUUUCAUCUAGGGCUUGAGAAUCAAAAAAAUCGCAGGCAUCUGUGCAGUCGACGAAGGACCGAUCUGCACGCCGGCGACGAAGCAUCGGUCACAGGGUGUUCUCCGACGGCGGUUUCGUUGAUCUGUGCAAGGGCUGUGCAAGGAGGCGGCGGCGGAAGAAUUCCGAUUAAUCAAGGAGGCGGCGGCGUCCGAGUAUUCCAAGGAGGAGGCGGCAGAACCUUUGGGCUUUUCCAAAGUUAGCCGACAUAUCUGAAGGUGGUGGAAAAGAACAAGUUGAAGCACAGCCAGCUCGGAGAUGAAGGGGAAAGAAGCAAUAGUAUUAUAAUUCUGGCCAACAUAAGAACCAUUUUCUGAGACAUGGUUUAGUUUUGUUUUGUUUUGUUUUUUUUUUUUUUUUUUUUGAGGAAGGUUAUGUUUUGUUUUUAGUUUAAUUUCAGAUGCAAAUAAUUUUGGUUUAUUCCUAGUAUUGAAGGUAACAUUGCGUGAAAUGUCUUUGCUAACUUCAUUUGACUAUAGUACUUUUGUUGUGGCAAACUCUACCCCAUGCUUCACUCAUCUUCUUAAAAAAUACUACUAAUUGAAAACCAUUUCGUUGGUUUGUUGUUGUUGGAUUUGUUUUUU